UACGAAGGGGGCUAGCGUUGUUCGGAAUUACUGGGCGUAAAGCGCACGUAGGCGGAUUUGUUAGUCAGGGGUGAAAUCCCGGGGCUCAACCUCGGAACUGCCUUUGAUACUGCAAGUCUUGAGUCCGGAAGAGGUGAGUGGAAUUCCUAGUGUAGAGGUGAAAUUCGUAGAUAUUAGGAGGAACACCAGUGGCGAAGGCGGCUCACUGGUCCGGUACUGACGAUGAGGUGCGAAAGCGUGGGGAGCAAACAGG
rnacentral:rRNA from 1 species